rnacentral:rRNA from 1 species
UAAACUAGGAUUAGAUACCCUAUUAUUUUAAAUGUAAAUUGUAUAUUAAGGUAGUAAUAGAUGAAUUCUUUAAACCUAAAGAAUUUGGCGGUGUUUUAAUCUAAUCAGAGGAAUUUGUCCCAUAAUCGAUAAUCCUCGUUUUAUCUAUCUUGAUUUAUUUAGUAUGUAUAUCGCCGUUAUAAGCUUAUUUUAUAAGAAUAAUUUGCUUUAAAAUUUAUUACUUAUUAUUUCAGGUCAAGGUGCAGUUUAUAAUUAAGUGGAGAUGAGUUACAAUAUUUUUAAUAUAUGGAUAUAAUUUUUAUAAUAUUAUUGAAAGUGGAUUUGUUAGUAAUUUUAAUUACAGUAUUAUUUUGAUUUUAGUUCUAAAAUGAGUACACAUCG